CUGUCUUCUUCCAAGCGUUUUGCAUCAUGGAGGAGUCUGUUAGAAAAUGGAAGAUCUUAGCUUUAUAGGCUAAGAAUAAAUCUGGCUAUAUGCUGGAAUAACUCAGUAUCCGACAGUACCAGAAAUGGUAACAAUCUGUCGGUGGAGUCAAUCAGCAGGAAAGAUCCAUCGGUUGAUGGAAAUCCUCAGAGACUACACGCCAGACCCGCCAAAAAUUGAAAUUUAGGCGGGAAGAUAUAGUCCGAACUGUAUAGUGAUAUACAG
rnacentral:ncRNA from 1 species